UGGAACUUGAAUCUCUACUAUUUAUCUAUCCUGAGAUGCCAUUUGAGUGGGGGCGUAACCGGGGGCUACGAAAAUAGAAGAGGCAACCAACUUGUUUUCUUUGUAUGAAUACAUAGUUGGUGUUGGGCUUUGUUGAUAGUGAAUAUUGUGAGUCAGGGAGGAGAUAAUGGUCAUUUGAGGUGCAGACAACCGUGCGUCUUUAUUACCCUGCGCAAUCAUUUCUAUUUUUAUAUUCAUACUCUUUCAAACUAUAAUGCUUAGGCUUUGCCCUUUAUAAAAGCAUCGUGAUUAUUGCGAGUGUGUGGCCACUAAAGGUAAUGAGGUAUUGGAGGUUUUGGAAAAAGCAAAAGAUCAGAACCCAGCGCACAAAGGCUUGAUAUAGGGGAGAUUGUGGUCUAAUCGUUCUUUUAUAAGAAAAAAGACUGAGUUCCAUGACAACAGUAAUGACAAGAUUCUCAAAAGAAGAAAAACUGUUAGAAUUUAUAUAACUCUAACAAUAAUUUUGAAAAAUAUAAAUACCAUCAAAUUUUCCAAUAUAUUGAUUGUUAUCUAGGAUAGCACGUGCAAAAGGUUCCAUUAUUUGUUCAUUGAGGAGUUUUUUGUAAACCCAAUAUACAUCGACUUUGGUCAUCCUUGUGACCAUUCUUUGUCUAUCGCUAUUCAAAGAUUUUUUAGGCCCAAGAACAAGGAAAUCAGGGUGGCUUUGAGCGAACCCCGUAUUUUUUACCAAUAACUAUUCUUGAUAAGGUGGCUUAUUUGGAGAUUGUUAGGCUAUUGGCAUAUUUUGAUUUUAUGCAUUUGAGAUCUCAUGUCAAGCAAUCUCUAUUAUCAAACACAUUUUGUUUUAGAGUUUCAUAGUUUGUAUUUCAAAAGGGUAUUGUGAAUUAAAAAAUUGAGUACUAUUGUCUGGCA